UGGCUUCGGCCAUCAGUAAAGCGGCGGACGGGUGAGUAACACGUAGGUAAUCUUCCCUUGGAGCGGGGGACAACGAGCCGAAAGGCUCGCUAAUACCGCAUACGUUUCCAGAGACCCCGGUCUUUGGAAGGAAAGCUAGGUAGCAAUAUCCGGCACUCGAGGAGGAGCCUGCGUCGCAUCAGCUAGUUGGUGGGGUAACGGCCUACCAAGGCGAAGACGCGUAGCUGGUCUGAGAGGAUGAUCAGCCACACUGAAACUGAGACACGGUUCAGACUCCUACGGGAGGCAGCAGUGGGGAAUAUUGGACAAUGGGCGCAAGCCUGAUCCAGCCACGCCGCGUGAGUGAUGAAGGCCUUCGGGUCGUAAAGCUCUGUGGGGAGGGACGAACCGCUGCCGGUUAAUACCCGGCAGCAUGACGGUACCUCCUUAGCAAGCACCGGCUAACUUCGUGCCAGCAGCCGCGGUAAUACGAAGGGUGCAAACGUUGCUCGGAAUUAUUGGGCGUAAAGCGCACGUAGGCGGCUUAGCAAGUUGGAUGUGAAAU
rnacentral:rRNA from 1 species